AGUGAACGCUGGCGGCGUGCCUAAUACAUGCAAGUCGAACGAAGUGGCGCACGGGUGAGUAAUAUAUAGAUAAUCUGCCCUACAAAGAGGAACAACAGUUGGCAACGACUGCUAAUACAUCAUAGUGUAGGAUGAGACUAUAUCGUAUCAGCUAGUUGGUAAGGUACUGGCUUACCAAGGCUAUGACGCGUAACUGGUCUGAGAGGAUAAUCAGUCACAUUGUAACUGAGACACGGGCCAAACUCCUACGGGAAGCAGCAGUAAGGAAUAUUGCGCAAUGGGGGAAACCCUGACGCAGCAACGCCGCGUGGAGGAUGACACUUUGCGGAGCGUAAACUCCUUUUAUCAGGAAAGCGGUACCUGAUGAAUAAGCACCGGCUAACUCCGUGCCAGCCGCCGCGGUAAUAC
rnacentral:rRNA from 1 species